rnacentral:pre_miRNA from 1 species
UGGCUACAAAAUAACAUAUUCUGUAGCCACUUUGAGUUACGAUAAUAACUAUGUUAAUUUACGAGAUUAUAGUAACUUCUUACUAAGUGAUUUGCUAUAACGUUACGGUAAAUAUCCCCAUAUGUUAUAGUAACCCAACUAUCGUAAAUAUGUAUACAUAUUAUCGUAAAUUAGUAUAUAAAAUUAUUGUAAAUGAAAGUGGCUACAACAUAACUUAUUUUGUAGCUA